rnacentral:rRNA from 1 species
UACGUAGGGUGCGAGCGUUGUCCGGAAUUAUUGGGCGUAAAGGGCUCGUAGGCGGUUUGUCGCGUCGGGAGUGAAAUCCACUGGCUUAACUGGUGGCUUGCUUUCGAUACGGGCAGACUGGAGGUAUGCAGGGGGAACGGAAUUCCUGGUGUAGCGGUGGAAUGCGCAGAUAUCAGGAGGAACACCAAUAGCGAAGGCAGCUCGCUGGGACGGUACUGACGCUAAGGCGCGAAAGCGUGGGGAGCGAACAGG